GAUGAACGCUGGCGGCGUGCCUAAUACAUGCAAGUCGAGCGAACAGACGAGGAGCUUGCUCCUCUGACGUUAGCGGCGGACGGGUGAGUAACACGUGGAUAACCUACCUAUCAGACUGGGAUAACUUCGGGAAACCGGAGCUAAUACCGGAUAAUAUAUUGAACCGCAUGGUUCAAUAGUGAAAGACGGUUUUGCUGUCACUUAUAGAUGGAUCCGCGCCGCAUUAGCUAGUUGGUAAGGUAACGGCUUACCAAGGCAACGAUGCGUAGCCGACCUGAGAGGGUGAUCGGCCACACUGGAACUGAGACACGGUCCAGACUCCUACGGGAGGCAGCAGUAGGGAAUCUUCCGCAAUGGGCGAAAGCCUGACGGAGCAACGCCGCGUGAGUGAUGAAGGUCUUCGGAUCGUAAAACUCUGUUAGUAGGGAAGAACAAAUGUGUAAGUAACUAUGCACGUCUUGACGGUACCUAAUCAGAAAGCCACGGCUAACUACGUG
rnacentral:rRNA from 1 species